rnacentral:rRNA from 1 species
UACGUAGGGGGCAAGCGUUGUCCGGAAUCAUUGGGCGUAAAGAGCGUGUAGGCGGCCCGGUAAGUCCGGUGUGAAAGUCACAGGCUCAACCUGUGAAUGCCGCUGGAAACUGUCUGGCUUGAGUCCGGAAGGGGCGAGUGGAAUUCCUGGUGUAGCGGUGAAAUGCGCAGAUAUCAGGAGGAACACCAAUGGCGAAGGCAGCUCGCUGGAACGGUACUGACGCUGAGGCGCGAAAGCGUGGGGAGCGAACAGG